GGAUAUAGUUGAAGUAUUCAUUUUAUAAACCGUACAAUUUGUGGAGGAUUUGAAGGGAGGUUUACCCCUAUUAUUUCUUGUUGUGAUUAUGUCUGAGAAGAUUGAGGUCGUUGUGAGGAAUUCUGUUAACUUUGGGGGAGGGCCCCCACUGGGACGAUGCAACGCAGUGCCUGUACUACGUGGACGUGUACACUAAUGACGUCCACAAAUACAACGCCGUCACAGGAGAGGACAGCCAGUUGAACCUUGGAGGAGGAUCUAUGGCGACUGUCAUCAUCCCUCGCCAGAAGGGCGGCUUUGUGGUGAGCCAGAAGACAGACCUCGCCAUCGUGGACUCUUGGGACAGUGGCAAAGUAACUAGCAUUGUGAAGGUCGAG